AGCCAAUAGAUACCCGGGUAGUCCACGCCCUAAACGAUCUCAACUGGCUUUGCGGAGUAUCGACCCUCUGCGAGGCGAAAGCUAACGCGUUAAGUUGAGCGCCUGGGUGGUACGGCCGCAAGGCUAAACUCAAAGGAAUAGACGGGGGCUUGCACAAGCGGUGGAGCGUGUGGCUUAAUUCGUCGCUAAGCGAAGAACCUUACCAGGGCUAGAAAUCCUACUGCACGUCUAGCGAAAGCUAGAAAGCCUUCGAGGGUGUAGGACAGGUGAUGCAUGGCUGUCGUCAGUUCGUGGUUUGAAUCGUUCCCUUCAGUGGGGUAACGAACGCAACCCUCGUUGCCAGUUUACAAGUGUCUGGCGAGACUGCCCCCUCACGGGGGAGGAAGGUGAGGAUGACGCCAAGUCAGCAUGUCCCUCUGAUGUCCUGGGCUGCACACGCGCUACAAUCGCCUUUACAAAGGGACGCAAUGCGGUAACGCGGAGCAAAUCCUGAAAACGAGGCGCCAGUUCGGAUUGGGGUCUGCAACCCGA
rnacentral:rRNA from 1 species